AAUUACAGCAUGACGUUCUCCACAAAAACGACAAAAUAAAUACAAUAUGAAAACACAAAACAAACACCUGUCAUCUCAUCAAAGGUUAAUGAACUGGGCACAGCGUUGAUGGUUCACCGGAUUUCACUGUCUAAUGGUCACAUGGUCAAUGAUUAGUAAGACUCAUGUCCUCACUUCCAAUUCAAAUAGCUCUCUAAUAAAAAUAAAGUGGUGAGGAGUUACAUAUGCGCCAGUAGUUUGGGUUUUUUUUGGUCCUUUUUAAGAGGUCAUUCGUCCGAGCAAGGGAUGCGUUGUUGACACGGCGACGGUUAUCACCUGGACCGCGACAGGUGCUGGG